UGAGACACAGUGGAUUGUUAUCUUGAUUUAUUUUUCACUGUUAACUUCCGCUCAGCUCUACACUUUGAAACUAAAACGCUGGUGAUAAACAUAGAGCAGUGUUUAUAUUUUCAAUAGGUGUUAAAAUAACAAGCUAACAUUUUCAUUGAAUUAAAAGUAUUCUUGUCAGUUUUAUGACCUUCAGCAUGAUUGGUGUCUCAGAACUGAAGCUAACAUCAUAGAGGUACAUCCUUCCAAGAAUCCAUCAAAACAACAUGCUGAACAACUUCAAGAACUCUCUUCAAAAGACCACACUUUCCUGAAAUAAAUAAAAGAUGCCAAUAUUAAAAUAAAUCAGUUACAUGUAUUGUUAAAUAUUUUAAUACUAGCUGUAAAUGCUACUGCCUUUGAUGUUUGCUUUCUACAUGUAUAUCAUAAUGAAAUAUUGACAAGAUAAUAGCUAAUGUUU